AACGCUAGCUACAGGCUUAACACAUGCAAGUCGAGGGGAAACGAUAUUGGAAGCUUGCUUCCGAUAGGCGUCGACCGGCGCACGGGUGAGUAACGCGUAUCCAACCUGCCCACCACUUGGGGAUAACCUUGCGAAAGUAAGACUAAUACCCAAUGAUAUCUCUAGAAGACAUCUGAAAGAGAUUAAAGAUUUAUCGGUGAUGGAUGGGGAUGCGUCUGAUUAGCUUGUUGGCGGGGUAACGGCCCACCAAGGCAACGAUUAGUAGGGGUUCUGAGAGGAAGGUCCCCCACAUUGGAACUGAGACACGGUCCAAACUCCUACGGGAGGCAGCAGUGAGGAAUAUUGGUCAAUGGGCGAGAGCCUGAACCAGCCAAGUAGCGUGCAGGAAGACGGCCCUAUGGGUUGUAAACUGCUUUUAUAAGGGAAUAAAGUUAGUCUCGUGAGACUUUUUGCAUGUACCUUAUGAAUAAGGACCGGCUAAUUCCGUGCCAGCAGCCGCGGUAGUACGGAAGGUCCGGGCGUUAUCCGGAUUUAUUGGGUUUAAAGGGAGCGUAGGCCGGAGAUUAAGCGUGUUGUGAAAUGUAGAUGCUCAACAUCUGAACUGCAGCGCGAACUGGUUUCCUUGAGUACGCACAAAGUGGGCGGAAUUCGUGGUGUAGCGGUGAAAUGCUUAGAUAUCACGAAGAACUCCGAUUG
rnacentral:rRNA from 1 species